GACGAACGCUGGCGGCGUGCUUAACACAUGCAAGUCGAACGCUGAAGCCCCAGCUUGCUGGGGUGGAUGAGUGGCGAACGGGUGAGUAACACGUGAGUAACCUGCCCAUCACUCUGGGAUAAGCGCUGGAAACGGCGUCUAAUACUGGAUACGAGCAGCGACCGCAUGGUCAGCUGCUGGAAAGACUGGUUCGGUGAUGGAUGGACUCGCGGCCUAUCAGCUUGUUGGUGAGGUAAUGGCUCACCAAGGCGACGACGGGUAGCCGGCCUGAGAGGGUGACCGGCCACACGGGGACUGAGACACGGCCCAGACUCCUACGGGAGGCAGCAGUGGGGAAUAUUGCACAAUGGGCGCAAGCCUGAUGCAGCAACGCCGCGUGAGGGAUGACGGCCUUCGGGUUGUAAACCUCUUUUCUCAGGGACGAUGAUGACGGUACCUGAGGAAUAAGCCACGGCUAACUACGUGCCAGCAGCCGCCGUAAGAC
rnacentral:rRNA from 1 species